AUUGAACGCUGGCGGCAGGCCUAACACAUGCAAGUCGAACGGUAGCACAGAGAGCUUGCUCUCGGGUGACGAGUGGCGGACGGGUGAGUAACGUCUGGGAAACUGCCCGAUGGAGGGGGAUAACUACUGGAAACGGUAGCUAAUACCGCAUAACGUCGCAAGACCAAAGUGGGGGACCUUCGGGCCUCACACCAUCGGAUGUGCCCAGAUGGGAUUAGCUAGUAGGUGGGGUAAUGGCUCACCUAGGCGACGAUCCCUAGCUGGUCUGAGAGGAUGACCCGGCACACUGGAACUGAGACACGGUCCAGACUCCUACGGGAGGCAGCAGUGGGGAAUAUUGCACAAUGGGCGCAAGCCUGAUGCAGCCGUGCCGCGUGUAUGAAGAAGGCCUUCGGGUUGUAAGUACUUUCAGCGGGGAGGAAGGCGGUGAAGUUAAUAACUUCACCGAUUGACGUUACCCGCAGAAGAAGCACCGGCUAACUCCGUACCAGCCGCCGCCGUAA
rnacentral:rRNA from 1 species